GAUGAAGAACGCAGCGAAAUGCGAUACUUGGUGUGAAUUGCAGAAUCCCGCGAAUCAUCGAGUUUUUGAACGCAAGUUGCGCCCGAAGCCAUUCGGCCGAGGGCACGUCUGCCUGGGUGUCACGCAUCGUUGCCCCCCCAAACUCCGGUUCGGGCGGGGCGGAAGUUGGCCUCCCGUGCGUGCCUGCGCGCGCGGUUAGCCCAAAAGCGAGUCCUCGGCGACGAGCGCCACGACAAUCGGUGGUUUUUUUACCCUCGUUCCUCGUCGUGCGUGUCCCGUCGCCCGAACGCGCUCUUGUGACCCUCACGCGUCGCCUCGGCGGCGCUCCCAACGCGACCCCAGGUCAGGCGGGACUACCCGCUGAGUUUAAGCAUAUCAUAAGCGGAGGA
rnacentral:misc_RNA from 1 species